AGAGUUUGAUCAUGGCUCAGAGUGAACGCUGGCGGCAGGCCUAACACAUGCAAGUCGAACGGCAGCACAGCAGUAGCAAUACUGUGGGUGGCGAGUGGCGGACGGGUGAGGAAUACAUGGGAAUCUGCCCUGUCGUGGGGGAUAACGUAGGGAAACUUACGCUAAUACCGCAUACGACCGGAAGGUGAAAGCGGCGGACCGCAAGGCGUCGCGCGACUGGAUGAGCCCAUGUCGGAUUAGCUAGUUGGCGGGGUAAAGGCCCACCAAGGCGACGAUCCGUAGCUGGUCUGAGAGGAUGAUCAGCCACACUGGAACUGAGACACGGUCCAGACUCCUACGGGAGGCAGCAGUGGGGAAUAUUGGACAAUGGGCGCAAGCCUGAUCCAGCCAUGCCGCGUGAGUGAAGAAGGCCUUCGGGUUGUAAAGCUCUUUUGUCCGGAAAGAAAAGCCUUCGGUUAAUACCCGGGGGUUCUGACGGUACCGGAAGAAUAAGCACCGGCUAACUUCGUGCCAGCAGCCGCGGUA
rnacentral:rRNA from 1 species